CUGAGACACACCUCAGCGUAUCCAAGAAGCACCUCACAUUGGAGAUCUGGCAACAAAGACUGGCCCCAAAAUCAACUCUGGACCUGAGCCAGAAUCUUUACCUCUGAGCUGAGGAAGCCUAAGAAGAAAAGAUCUGAGCCAGUGGUUGAUCUAGGGAUCCACACACACCAUACCUUCUCCCACUGCCACCCCUCCCAGGACACACAGCCAGAGCCCAAGGGGGCAAAGUCUUGUGGAAAAUUAAGCCAGAGAAGA